CUCAGCCUUGCGGUGGCCGACGCCUCUCCGCCGGAGUCUCUCUUGGGAUUCUGAUGGGUAGGUGCGGUCGAAACCUAUGGGCGCGUCCUCGCAGGUCGUCCAGCGUAGCAAGUCUCUCGCUGAACGUACCGGGGAGGAAGCGCCAAUUCAAUACACGAACGCUUGGCCUCGAAUCAGGUAGGGAUACCCGCUGAACUUAA
rnacentral:misc_RNA from 1 species